rnacentral:rRNA from 1 species
CGAGUGAAGCGCAACAGCUCAAAUUUGAAAUCUGGCUCUUACCGUAGUCCGAGUUGUAAUUUGUAGAGGAUGCUUUUGGUGAGGUGCCUUCCGAGUUCCCUGGAACGGGACGCCAUAGAGGGUGAGAGCCCCGUACGGUUGGAUACCAAGCCUCUGUAUAGCUCCUUCAACGAGUCGAGUAGUUUGGGAAUGCUGCUCUAAAUGGGAGGUAUAUCUCUUCUAAAGCUAAAUAUAGGCUAGAGACCGAUAGCGCACAAGUAGAGUGAUCGAAAGAUGAAAAGCACUUUGAAAAGAGAGUUAAACAGCACGUGAAAUUGUUGAAAGGGAAGCGCCUAUGACCAGACUUGUUUCUGGCAGUUUUGUUAGCCCUCGGGCUGAUUUACUCUGUCCAGUACAGGCCAGCAUCAGUUUGCUGUUGGGGAGAAAGGCUCUGGGAACGUAGCUCCCCCCUUCUGGGGGGAGUGUUAUAGCCCUCUGCAUAAUACCCUUUGGCAGACUGAGGACCGCGCUUCGGCAAGGAUGCUGGCGUAAUGGUCACAGGACGCCCGUCUUGAAACACGGACCAAGGAGUCAACCUUAUGUGCGAGUGUUUGGGUGUAAAACCCCAGCGCGUAAUGAAAGUGAACGUAGGUGAGAGCUUCGGCGCAUCAUCGACCGAUUCUGAUGUUUUCGGAUGGAUUUGAGUAAGAGCACACAGGGUUGGACCCGAAAGAAGGUGAACUAUGCUUGUAUAGGGUGAAGCCAGAGGAAACUCUGGUGGAGGCUCGCAGCGGUUCUGACGUGCAAAUCGAUCGUCAAAUAUGAGCAUGGGGGCGAAAGACUAAUCGAACCUUCUAGUAGCUGGUUCCAGCCGAAGUUUCCCUCAGGAUAGCAGUGUUGAAUUUUCUUCAGUUUUAUGAGGUAAAGCGAAUGAUUAGGGACUCGGGGGCGCUAUAUUGCCUUCAUCCAUUCUCAAACUUUAAAUAUGUAAGAAGCCCUUGUUACUUAAUUGAACGUGGGCAUUCGAAUGUAC